rnacentral:lncRNA from 1 species
UUUGUGAAAUAAAAUGAGAAAUACUUUUUGGAUAAUUCCAUAAGUUUGGUAAUAAAUCUAUAAGUGAAAUUUUGAAGAUUUUUGGAUUUAUAUAUGUUCAAUAUAUGUUGUGAGUUUGAACUGGAUUGAAGGGUUGGAUUGAAGAUUAUUGAGAAGUGGAUCAGGGUCUCAAAAAGUAGAGUUUUAGGCCUAGUGAGGAAUUCUAAGAUUUCUUGCAAUCUAUUAAUUGAAUUGGA